AUGAUGAAUCUUAUAUCGUUUGAGACGCCUCCUCCUCUUGGUAGGCAAGAGAGCACCGCUGCUACUGCAGCCACCGGCAUGAAGGUGGCAAAGGAAGCGAGCUCUAGUGACGCAUGCUUCCACGGUAGCAAUCUAGACCUAAGCCUCGGCAUCUCCUUGUCUCCCGGAGGUAACUGCAGCGCCGCCAGCUGCGGUGGCGCCGCCAUGGCAAGCUACAACGGUCGUCAAGGUGGGGGCAAUGUCGGUCGAGUGCAGAGCAGUGACAUGGUCAUCGCUAGUACCGCCACUGCGAACACGCUUAGCGCAGGGCGUGGUGGUAAUUGCCAUGGCAUUGUGCCUAGCAGCAGCUGGGCGGCGGUGUUCAUGCCAAGCCCGACCGGCUUCAUGCACCCCUGGAGCCUCGCCGCCCGGCAGCAGAAGGCGGCCGCGGAGCAGGACCGGAACAUUGCGCCAGCGUCGGUGGCAACAACAUAUGUGACAAGCGAUGCUAGUGUGGUCUCAGUGCCUUCGGCGGCUGUGGGCUGGCCGCCGGUGCACACCUCCCGGCGCCACCUCGUCACCGCCACGCAUGUGCCAAAACCCGACGCCGGCGUGAAGCAGCCCGACGGCCCAAAGAACACGAAGAUACCCACCGCGGCCUCGCCCGCCGAUGAUGAUAAGGAGGUGGCGGGGACGCCGAGGAGCUAUACGGUCACCGCAGAACCGCAGCGGCUGCAGGCAAACAUGUUCGCCAAGGUGCACAUGGAUGGCUGCCUGAUCGUCAGGAAGAUCAACCUGAGAGCUCACCGCAGCUACGACUCCCUCUCGCGGGCGCUCACCAGGAUGACAAGAAACUUCUUCUGCCCUGCAGAUUAUCGGAGUUCGGAUUCUGGGGAAGGCGAUUGUGCAAAUAGUGACGACUUCAUAUUUCUAUAUGAAGACUUUGAAGGCGACCGGAUGCUUGUUGGAGAUGUCCCAUGGGAGUUGUUUCUUGCGACGGCCAAAAAAUUAUGCAUUUCUCGUCAUCCAACAUCAAGAGAUACCAAAGGUCAUGACGAAGCAGCAAAAUUAGACGCAAGUGUGAAGAUAGCUACAAAUAACUGA
rnacentral:rRNA from 1 species